CGAGUGGGCUCAAGUACUCGAGGCGUUUAUGGGUGUCAUUAUCGAGAGUGAAAGGCGCCGGGUUCGAGAGCGAUCGAACCGGAUCGCCCUUCUGCCAUCACCUCUACGAGGUCUGGUACGAGGGGGGACCGGCGUUCCCGCGAUUCUUUCUCUCGAGGUGUCUUGCGAACGUAGUAGAGCGUCGCGGCCGUUGAAGCGGUGUCGAUGACCCGGAGGCUGGGAACCGCAGCACCUUCUCGUCUUUCGGGUCGAGUAGGGUGGUGCGGGGACGCUUCGGUGUUCUGACGGCUGCCUCGACGGUUUGCUGAAACGGAGCGGGUACGGGGAGGCGUCUCCAUCUUUCUUCCGCCCGCGCAGCAAUGCUGGGUGAAGGUCGUUGGAGUCGCCCCCGAGUACUCGGCCCAUCUCCGUCACGCGGCGCAGGAUCUGCUGUUGCCUACUCGUCCCGUCUUGAAACACGGACCAAGGAGUCUAGAAUAUGCGCGAGUCAAAGGGCUGGCUAAACCCUAAGGCGAAACGAAAGUGAAUGAGUCGGUUGCGGGGCUGGGCGCGUCCUCGUGGCGCGUUCUGGUUCGCGGUUGAGUUUUUUUGGGCCGAUCCGUUUCGGGGGUUACUCCCCGAUUUACCUCAUAUAGCUAGGAGGACGGCGCAGGCCCGGGGCUCGCCAGCUUCGCCCCUUUCGCUAAUGCGAAAGUCGAUCGCGAUGAAGGGUCGUCGAGACGCUCUUCCUAGCCUCGCCUGCAGCCGGUUCACGCCGGCGCGCGGGUGGCGAGCUAGGAUACGAGCGUCGAGAUCGUCCCCGAAGGCGUCGACUCGCAGAGAGGGACGAGCGGCGGGUACCCUGAGCGCAGAUUCUAGUACCCGAAAGAUGGUGAUCUAUGCUUGGCCAGGAUGAAGCCAGAGGAAACUCUGGUGGAGGUCCGAAGCGGUUCUGACGUGCAAAUCGAUCGUCGGAGCUGAGCAUAGGGGCGAAGACAAUCGAC
rnacentral:rRNA from 1 species